AGCAAUUCACAUGGCCAUGUGAAUGAAAGACCACAUACAUCAGCUCCACUUGCACUUAAGUGUACUCAACCAAAAGGAUUCAUCGAAAUGGUGUGUGAGCUACUUCUUUGAAGUGCCCCCCAUUUUCUUCCGUCCUAACAGAUUGCAGAUGUUUCAGCCAGAAGUCAACCAGCUCCAGGGCAUUGCGUGGUGAAGCCACACAGAAGAUAACAGGAUCCUGAGACGUAAGGAGUGUGAACCUCUGAGGACUGUGCAAAGGACUGCUUACCUCUGGAUGUGUUUUACCUGAGAGAGAUGUAAAACAGUUGAACAAAGAAAAUGUGUGCUUAGAUGACGUUGUGGUUUGGAUAUGUGUCGGAGUGCCUCACCCAAGUCUCAAGUCUUAAAAGUGUGGUAACUGAUGAGGAAAGCGUGGGCAGAAGAAGUGCCAAAUCCCAAUAGAAAAAGUAAGUAAACAGAGAGAAAAGAAAAAAGAAGUGAUCCUUAUACAUGAAAACUAAUCAGCCCUGUUAUGGUUGAACAGAUUAAGCUACUGCUUG